rnacentral:lncRNA from 1 species
AAACGGUCUUUAGGUCAUUUUCAUGUUCCGACCUAUAUGACAUUGUAGCUUUGUUUGGAUCCACUUCAUCUUUUGACCCAUAUGUCAUUGUAAGUUUAUUUGUAUACUCUGCAUGGUUUGACCCGUAUGACAUUGUAACUUUAUGUGGAUCUUCUUGUUGUUCUGACCUAUAUGUCAUCGUAGCUUUAUUGGGAUCAUCUUCUUGUUGCGACCCAUAUGACAUUGUAACUUUAUGUGGAUCUUCUUCUUGUUCUGACCUAUAUGUCAUUGUAACUUUAUUGGGAUCAUCUUCUUGUUUCGACCCAUAUGACAUUGUGACUUUAUGUGGAUCUUCCUCUUGUUCUGACCUAUAUGACAUUGUAACUUUAUUGGGAUCAUCUUCUUGUUCUGCCUUGUAUGUCAUUGUAGCUUUAUUGGGAUCAUCUUCUUGUUCUGGCCUGUAUGACAUUGUGACUCUAUGUGGAUCAUCUUCACCUUGAUUCAAGACUUCAAUAUGUUCAUUUUUUCCUUCAUCUAACCCAUAUGACACUGAGACUUCUUUUAGAUCUCCUUCUUGUGCCACAAAGUCUCUAUUUUUUGAUCCAUGUGACACAGAUACUUCUUUUAAAUUAUUUUCACCUUUUGAUUCAUAUGACAGAGAAACCUCCUUCACAUCUUCUUGUGCCACGAAGUCUCUCUUUGGAACAUCUUUGGCACCUACCCCAUAAGACACCGAGACUUUUUCCGGUCUCUCUCCAACUUUUGCCCCAUAUGACACAGAGACCUCCUUUAAAUUGUCUCCAUCUUUUGAUCCAUACGACAAAGAGUCCUCCUUUAACUUAUGUUCAGCUUGUGAUGCAGUAUGACUAUGUUCUUCCCCUUGAUCAGCUUCUGACUUGAGUUUCUUAUAAUAUGGUCCGAUUUUUCGUAGUCCUUUGACAAACUUGAGAUCAAUAUCGUCUGGAGAGGCACGCACUGAAUUCACAUGUGGCAACCAUGUUGAUAGACUUAUUAGUAGGUCAAUUGUGAUAAACCACAAGUCACAUAAAAUCAAAUUGAACGGGUGAUGCAUCCAUGCAAAAACAACAAAUAAAAAAACUACGGAUAGACUAUGCUAAAUACUACUCCCUCCGUCCCAAAAUGUAAGAUCAUUUUUGACACUGGGUUGCCUCUCUGAAUAUUAGACCUCUGAACAUCAGAGUCAUAUAUCACAACAACGAAAUAAACCAAACUCGUGUUUGCGGUAUGCAUAGACACAAACAAAUUGUUUAUGCUGUGAAUGACAGGCUACAUUUAAACCUAAUCUGUUGUUGAAUAUCCGGUCUCUAUUAAAAGUUAUGUUUAGUUUAAUCUAAUUCCCAUUCCCCCCAAAAAAGGUAUACCUUUUACUUUACAACUAUAUUCGAUUUACAAUUUUACACACUCGUGCAUAUUCGGGAAAAAAAGGAAACAAAUAUUUACACACUCAGCUUCAGACCAAUUAUGAAAUCAGGUCUACGAUUUUGGAGAGAGAGAGAGAGAGAGAGAGAGAGACCUUCUUGUUGGACUAACAGGUCGCUGACGGCUGGGGGAAUUGGAGUUCCGGGAAGCACCGCCUCCCAGUACGCCCUCGGCGUCACCGAGUUCGUCGUGGCCGCAUUGGCGAAGCUCACAUGAGGACUGCCUCCUCCAGUAAUCUGGGUGCAUCACAACAAAUAAACAAAAGACCGUUACAAGUCACACACACACACACACGACGUACAUAGGUAUGCAAUUCGUGUGUGGACAGAAAUAUUUGAUGAGUGUGCCGUAUGCACUCACCAGAAGAAGCGAGACGAGUGACAGGAGUACAUCCAUGGUGUGCGCGCGCUGCAGUGCAAUGUGUUGCAUCCAGUGCUAGUGAGUGAUGGUGUGAAGCAAAGCAGCUGGACAUGGGUCCUAUUUAUAGUCGUGAUUGGGCAAGGAGUGGCAUAGAUUUACUGCUCAACAAUCAUACAUAUGCAUUUCAAGCAUCUUGCUAAAUCCAUGAUUCAUGAGGCAUGCAAGGGCCAACGUAUGACGGCAUUGGACGCUGACGACUCAACCGUUUGCUCUCCUAUUGUCGUACGUGGUUAUUAAGAAAGAGCAGCGUGAGUUCCUCGUGUUCAUUUCUUUAUGGAUAUGGAGUAUGUCAGAUCUGGUGGACGCAAAUAUGCCCAAAGUGCCAUAUUACGGACUACAAAAGUCCAAGCCGAAAGGCCUUGUAGGCUUGUCUGGGAGAGGAAAUAAUCUGUUUGAAAUGUGCUGAAUAUGAUUCUACUUGUAUUCCUUACAUGGUUGAAUUGGGUGGCGUUUUACGUACGUAUAGUAUUAUAUAUAAGAGCAUCUCCAGCAAUCCUCCAGUAUACCAUUCCUAAUACUAAUAGGGUGAUACUGAGGCAAUCCUCUAGCAACCCAAAAGUUGGUACUUUAAACUGUUUGAGUGGUUCCCCGAAAAAAAAACAACAACAACAAGAACACUGUUUGAGUGGUUAGCAGAAAUUAUUGCUUAUCAAGAAUAGUACUACUCUGGUAGCUGAANNNNNNNNNNNNNNNNNNNNNNNNNNNNNNNNNNNNNNNNNNNNNNNNNNNNNNNNNNNNNNNNNNNNNNNNNNNNNNNNNNNNNNNNNNNNNNNNNNNNNNNNNNNNNNNNNNNNNNNNNNNNNNNNNNNNNNNNNNNNNNNNNNNNNNNNNNNNNNNNNNNNNNNNNNNNNNNNNNNNNNNNNNNNNNNNNNNNNNNNNNNNNNNNNNNNNNNNNNNCAAACCCAGCGCGUCGGGGGGCUCCUGGGGCGUCGGCUUUAGCGAAAAGGCGCGUGGGCCCGUGCUGUCGGCGACACCGGCCAAAUUCCCGCCGUUUUCUUCCCCCUUUCCCUCCAUUUCCCUAGUGUCGCCCCCUUCUCCCCCGCCCUUCCCGCCAUUCUCUCCCCGGAUCCGCCCGUCAUGCCGCCGAAGAAGUAUGUCGCCCUUUGCCUAGCCGCGAUUUCGUUCAACCAAAGCAGAGGAAGCCAAGGGCGCCAAUGGCAAGACCCCCGGGCUUGUCGAACGCCGAGUGGAAGGCCGACGUUGAGCGUCGGGAGGCGGUGACCACAAACCGGCGAAAUAGGCUCAUCAUGAAGAAGGCUAGGGACGUGGCGGCGGCGAAGCAGCAGGGAGAGGUGGCUCGCGUGGGGAUGGCGAACCUUUUACCUCAACAGGCCGGCCAGUGCCCCAAGCCACAUGGGGAAGCCAACAGAGCGCCGCGUCACCAUCACCGGCCAACUUAUCGUUGCCGCUAUGGGGGUACGUGGCCUCGCCUGGCUAUGCCGACGGCGGCGCGCAUGGCGGCUUCAACCCCAACAUCACCUUCCCACAUGGCGCGGCGCCGCGCACAUCCCCGGCCGGCUUCAACCACGACUCGCGUAUCCCUCCCCCAUGUUCGCCGCCGGCCUCAACACCCAGUACAGCCACUCGCUGCCGACUUACUCAGCUUCGCUUGCGCCAUCUCUGCGUCGUGGCGCCCUCCCAUUCACACACGGCUCGGCGGCACCGUUCAGCAGCACCGAUGCCGACAUGGACGAGAUUAUCACGAGCGGCUCGGUCGCUGCCGCUUCGUGCCCCGGGUUCCACACACAAGACGAAACUCUGGACGACAUCGUCGAUAUCGAGGACGAGCUCGAUGGCGCCGAGGAGGAAAUGGAGGAAGAACCGGCGGAGGUGGAGCCGGCGCCCAAAGCGAAAAAGAAGAAGAAGGCAGAGCCUCGCCUGAAGUGGACGUCCAAGGAAGACGAGUGCCUCGCUGGAGCAUGGAAGACCGUCAGCAUCGAUCCGAUCACCGGCUCGAAUCAAAACGUCGACACGUACUGGAUAAUGAUCAAGACGGCGUUCGACGAGUGCAAGUUGGUCGACCUGGACUUCGCCAACAUCCACAUGGACCGCGGCGAGAAGGCCAUGGCGAACCACGGGGCGACAAUCCAGACGGCCUGUAACAAGUGGCAUGGGAUUCAAGAGGAGGUCGCGGCUCGCCCGGAAAGCGGCGCCAACGUCGAGGGUUAGGUAUGGCCAUGGUUCGCCGGCCCAGUUCCUCGCCGUGUACUUCACCGACACUUUGUGUUUGGAUGUGCAGAUGGUUCGGAUGUUCAACAUGUUUCGCCAGGACAACAGCGACCAAGAGUUCAAGUUCCUUCAUGUGUUCACCAGGAUCGAGUCGUGCGAGAAAUGGACGAAGGCCGGGCUCGCUCUCACCAAGGCGAAGAACACCUACAACCCGGAUGCGCCUACCCCGCCGGCGGCAGAAGGGCGCCAUGAUGGCAACAAACGAGCCAAGGUGGCAAGGGACGCGGCACCCGCUACCGAACGGUCGUCGAUCGAGCAAUGCAUCGACGAUGCUAAGAGCAACGCCGCCAAGAGGGAGUAGAAACCCGACGCGAGGUGGUCGGCGUUGAUGAUGAAGCAGGACGCCAAGCUCGACCUUCUUAGGACCAACGUCGUCGUGAAGAAGAGGAACACCAACCUGGUGUUCUUGAUGGGGGGAGACACGUCGACGAUGGACGAGCAGGUGAAGGUGUGUACCUGGCGGAGCGCGGCCUCAUCUUGAACCAGAUGUCGGGACCGUCGGCGACCACCACUCCUACGCCAACGCCAACGCCGAGCCCGAGCAAUGGAGCUGCGCCCACGCCGAUGCCGAGCCUGAGCACUGGAGCUGCGCCCAUGCCGACGCCGAGCCCAAGCACUGAAGUUGUGCCCACGCUGACACCCACGCCGACCUCGGCCAGCCCUGCGGCAGAGGAGCCUACCGCUUGAGCUCCACGUCUAUUUGUUCCUAUCCUUUUGAUCGCCGGACUUUGGCUAAUGUUCGAUGUCAGCCCUGUGGCAGGAUGAACGCCGACCUGUGGCAUGAUCACCAAACUGUGUCGUUUUUUGUAGUGGGAAAAUGAACUUUGAAUUUUACAUUCGUUUUGGGGGCCGAAACCCGGGGGCGCGACUGAGAACUCGAUCGCCCCAGACCGAAAAAAGCGCCGGCGCAAACGCCAAGACCCUUCGAUGGGGAGAAUCAACCUGUGGUUGAGUUGGUUAGGUGGACAGUGGUAUCCCCAACCCACCAGGGUUCAAAUCCUGGUGCUCGCAUUAUUACUGGAUUUAUUUCAGAAUUUCCGGCGAUGCGCUUUCAGUGGGGGGAGACGUUCCCGUCGACGACGAAGCGCCUACGGUGACUUCGUAAAUCUCAAGAUGAUAUGCCGGCUCAGUCUCUCGGAGGUGCCCAUAGGGGUAGGGUGUGCAUGUGUGCGUUCAUAGGGGUGAGUGUAUGCGCGUGUAUAUGAGCGCUUGUGUCUGUACUGAUGCUAAAAAAAAAACCUUCGCUGGGUGCGCUGGGGGCCAAACUGGAGAUGCUCUAAGAUUCGUGAGCAGCACAAGCUCGGCUGGCUGACUCAAGGAUCAAGUAUGCCGAUGGCAUAAACCGGACACACAUGGUCAUUCAGAUGUCCAUUUCGACUCCAUUUUAGCUAAGAGAAAGAUACAACUAAUGUGUUUUUAGUUCUCAGGCUUUUUGGUUGGCUGUACCUUUCGUUGUUCUUUCAGCCAAAGGAUUCUCCUCGAUCUGGCAAGAGCGAUCUUUCCCCCUAAAGACUGAUGACCAGAGCCAAGUAUGCUGAUUCCUGCAGAAAGUGGGCCUUUUGUCUUGUCGAAAGAACUCAAAUUUCUUUUCAAGUGUCUUAGCUACGAUGCGCAUGCAUAUCUCCCAUUGCCUGAUCUAACCAUAGUCUAUAAACAACACACCAUGCGGAACUCGUUGUUGCAUAUUCAAUUUGGAAGGCUGAUUGGCUAAGAUCUGAUAAGGGAUACUGCAUCCUAUCAUCAGGCAGCAGGCAGCUUGCGGCGGCAGGGUUAACCACGAUGGAAUGGAAGGACCAAGACUGAGAAAUAAAGUAACCACAAGAAUAUAUUUUUUAACACAGUAUAAUCUCAGAUGCUCACAUAGAAGCAUCAAUUGAUAUAGAGAACGGCGUAAAAAAAAAGACAAUGCAGUCGAUCCCGUUGUUCUAGAACAUUCUUGGCAUCGGGUACAGCCAAUCAGACAUUGCAAAAUUACAGUUUACCAAUGUGUUGCCCUUUGCAGGACAUAACGGACCGCCCGAGGUUGGGGCCGGCUAGCAUGAGUAGGUAGGCACACAGUUCGGCAUGAAAGCAAGGACAAUCAGCCGCCGCGGCAAUGACAGGAUGUCAUGUCGGCCAUGCAUGUGUGGUGACAGAGAGUGACCGGACACCGGAGGGUGCCGGCUACUGUGCAGGGAAGGACUAGACGACAGGCGUGAGCGAUUUCGCAGAGCGGGAAAUCACGGCGGGACCGGCGUUCUGCUGAAAGCUAUGAUCAGCUAUAUGGAUGCAUAUGGUGGUUGGUGGAGCUACGAGAGGCAUGUUUGAGUGAACCAUGUCGUCUCGGACAAGUGAAAUGUAUCGCAGAGGGCCUCUUUGAUUCGUAGGAGUUUUUCUAUGCUGGUGUUUGAUUCGUAUGAUUGUUUCCUAUAGGUUUGCUUCUUAAUAACUCUUUGUACUACGUACUCGAUAGGAAAUUUAGAAUCGACUCAAACCUCUUCAAAGAAAAAUCCUUUCGUAGCAUUCAGAUGAGAUGACAUUGCAAUUCUAUAUUGUUCCUAUUCCCACGUUUUCAGAUUCCUACGAAUCAAAGAGGCCCUUAACUCUUUGUAGAUGGCGCAAAUCAAUCUAUCUCCUAGUACUGCCAAAAUGGCACGCUAUCCAAACUGCAACUAAGGCAUAGUAAUGUGAAAUAUAAUCGCAGAAGCCCAGUAUCCAAACUAAAACCUUGAAUUUUUGCUAAGCAACGACAGGACAUGUUGGAGGUAAAGACCACAUGCUGCACCAGGCAUUACCAAUACCAAAUCAGCAGACUAUUUCGCCUACUAUUUCUAGUAGGCGAAACCGCCGUGCGUUCAACUAGCAGUGCGCCUGCGAGUUCUUGCCCGCUUCUGCUAUCCCGGUGCUUAGCAAAAAUAAUAAUAACUGCAGAAGCUCAUUCCAUAUAUAUACUCAUUCAAGUCCAUAUAUCAAAGCUAUCGCCUGUAUGAAGGAAAGCCUUUAUUGACGAAACUACAAUACACCUUAUGCAACUAUGGAUAUAUGAUCAUCACUGGUUCAUCGAUUGAAAAUAACAUAAAAGUUUUCUAUCACCAGUGCAACUAGUCUUCCUCCUGGCCAAAUUUAUAAAAUCUGCUAUCACUGUAUUGGUAUCAGUCUCUGAAUCUAAGCAAAGUACGAUGACGAGGACGAUGUAUCCCGGAGGACCUGCAAGCGCAAAUUGAGCAAAACUGUGAGAAAUGACAUCAACGUGUGCAGCAAACCAGCAAUUGAAGAUAUUGAGCUUGCCUCCAGUUCGUCUUCUGUGAAGGCAUCCUUCUGGAUGCUCCAAGUGUCGGCGUGUGUCCUCUUAAACUCAGCAACAGCCUUUGUCACAGUAGAUUUCACAGGAGACGGCUCGCGGAUGAAGUGGGCCAGUAGUGUUACAUGACCAGGAAGCCAGCUGCAAAGACCAGGGCUGACGUAAGUGUGGGUUAUGGAGCAAUAGAACUAUCAACAAAUCUGUUGCUGAUGCCACCUGCUAUCAACUCGCUCUGUAAAGAAAUAUAAGAGUAGAUCACUACUCUAGUGAUCUAAACGCUCUUAUAUUUCUUUACAGAGGGAGUACUAUGCAACAAAUAAGGUACUCUAGUGAUCUAAACGCUCUUAUAUUUCUUUACAGAGGGAGUACUAUGCAACAAAUAAGGUAAGGCCAGCGAGUACCUUGGCAUGUCGUAUGGGACAGAAAGCACCGAAGCCGUCAGAGCAAGUACUGCACCAUGUAUGGUAGCAACAGAAUGGCCGGACUUUGGAGUUCUGCAACAUGCAAAACAUUCACAUGUAUUAGCCAAUUAUCUGCUCAACAAUCGGUGACACAAAAUACUACAGUAAUAUCAGAAUUCAGUACAAAGUUUACCUUCUUCUCGUAUCAAGGAUACGUUGGGCUUGUGCAUAUGAUCUAUCACGGAAAUCCUUCGAUAGAUCUUUAUCUAUACCCUUCAUUAAGCUUGCAAGAACACCAGCAGCAUGCUCCCUGACCUGAGUAUAGAAUGGUAAAGUUCAUACAAUUAGCAACAGGUAUCUUCACUUAGAGGACCUUUAGUAAGAACAACACUCAUAUGUAUCCAUUAUACCAAGGAAAAGGCUAGAAGUAGAAAGAUCGAUAUUCUUAGUGCUUUUCAUGUCAGGAGUACAAAUUGUACACAUUUCUUGAAUAACACAACAGGUGGAAAGAAAAUGUUGAGUGAGUCAGAGGCCAAAUAAAGAUAUAUACUUGCCUCAACUUGGUUAUCCACAAGUAACUUCUCGAUUGUUUGCCAAAUUUGUGAUUUCUCUGAGCCAGAAAGAAUGAAUGUGUGCCUGUGACAAUUAACUUUCGAUUAGUUCCAAGACCACUGGGAGAAUCACAAAACCACAUGACAACUAAGAAAUAUUAACCCGUCAAGAAGACUAGAUCUGCAAGUACAAGAUAAUGUAAGUCUCUAUCAUCCUCAAUGAGAAAAUACGUCAUAAUACACUUCACAAGUCACGCCACACUACCAUAGAAACAGUCAGUGAGCUGUUUGCAGCAAUGACCUAGGUUUUGACACUGCCAGUGUAGUAUCAAAGGUAAGUUUUUCACACUGAGAAUAAAACUAGAGAAGAACACAUUGCGGACUAAAAAAACAUUUAUUCUAAUACUGGAAAAAUAGCAAUCAGAAGAGAGGGUAUGAACCUGUAUGUAAAGGUCCUGAGAUAUGAUAACAACGCUGAUCUGGUUCGCCAGUUGGGAUCACUGACUGAAGAAAGGAUAGCCAUAAUAGCUGUUUCAAGAAAAGGGCGCGGCAAAGUCCGCCAUUUAAGCAAUUCAAAAGCUGACUUUGCAAGCAAUGACAAAUCUUUAUUUGAUGUUUCCUGCAAAAACAUAACAGGGCAGUCAAAUUGUUAGAAUUCCUAAUUCUAACAAUUGCUAGUACCUGUCUCCACAAAAAAAAAAAGAUGACCUCCUGGAAGGUUUAAAAUAUUUUUGUCUUCUCCUCAAAAGAAAAUCUCAACUUUCAAGAAUUUUAGUAGGUAGGAUCAAACUUCAGUUUUUCUUCAGAAAGAUAGAAGGAUUACUGGACUUCUAAGAUAUGGUUAGCAAAUCAAAAGAGAAAAUUCUUCCACUUCAUUAUUCUUGUUUCUCUCAAAACACCACGAAAAACGAGUGUACAGGUAAAAAUUCCUUUCAUGGAAGAUUGGGUUAUGUCACUACAGCGAAGUUACCACAAUGCAUACCUGUAAUGAUAGAACAGGGUAGAAGAGUGCAAUAAUAACAUCUAGUAGAACGGAAGAUCUCCCAGACUUCAGAGAUGCAAUCAUGAAAUGGAAAAUCUGCAAAAGAAAAGCAUAAGCCUAGAAUGAAGCAACGGAAUAGUACACGUAUCAACCUGGAGAAAGUUAUGAAAUAACACCGUUUCCAUUCUUUUAGCGUCAGCCUCCUCUUUAUUGUCCAAGCCAUUCACAGUGGAUGAAUCGGAUGCCAAUUCAAGUUGCUUAGAUUGACUAUUGUUCUGUAUACUCACAGACAACUCAGUAACUCCAUCUGUCAAACGCUUAGACCAAUAUUCAUUUCCGGUUUGUUCUGUCAGGACUCCCGGUGAACGUGCACCAGCUAAUCUCACAUUCGAGCAUGCGACACACAUAGCAACACCAAUCGCCUCUCUUACCUGGAAUCAAAAUGAAAGGAAAUGGAUAAGAGUUUGUUUUCUUUCGAGAUAACUAUAUUUCUUUACACAUCUGGGCUCCAUUUAUUAUCAAAAGCUUGUCGUUACUUCAGAAAAUUUUGACAGUGCCAAUUGGGAAUGAGAUGGGGAGUUUAGCGGGAAUUUAUGGUGAGUAGCCAUGGCAAUUUGAUUCUGCCAUAACCUUUGAUAGGCUUGAAUCUGAAAUGUGUGGCAGUAUGUGUUUAUUUCUUUUCAUUUUUUUCUUGGUACGCUUGCUCUAUCCAUAUUGCAUUUUUUCUCCUCUUUUAUAUGGGGGGGUUGAGAACUAGUAUGGUUGCGUCCUUAAUUUGCAAUUAAUAAUAUAGGCCACAUUUUCAAUUGAGAUUAUAGGGUUCCACUUGUGGCAGCAGCAAUGAAAUGAAUUUAUUAACCAAAUUUCACAUGCAAAACGUGUUUUGUCAAGUAGCUGAGAGCUAGCAAGGAUACAUCUGAACAACUGACAAUUAUGCCAGUCACCCACCAGAAGAGGGUCCGAGCCUAUAAGCGCUUUAUGUAUCUUCUGGUUCGGACACAUCUGAUAAUUAUGCCAGUCACCCACGAAGAUAGUCCAAGACUUAAUAUAAGUGCAAUCCAGUUUACAGGAACCUAAUCCAGCACAUAGCAAGCCCGAUUACACAAUAUCAUACCAUUGAUAUAGACCCUGAAUCCUAGUGAAGGGUGCUCAAGAACAUGUUCUAUACAACAUGCAACACUCAAUUAAGUCCUACGACAGAAGGGCAGCCGAUUUUGCUAGAUAUGUCAAGGAAAUAUUCUUUAGGUGUGAUCAUAGUAUCAACUUCAUUAAAGACAAUGGAAUUAGAAAGGAAAAAGGUACCUCCACAUAGAAGUGAUCUGACAUUACCUGUGCAGAUGAGUGACUCAUAUUGUCAAGCAGUUCGUUGAGAAUUGUAACGUGGUACUGCUCCUCUGCUGGGGACAUUUUAUGUGGAGAAAUUUCAAUUAGAGCAACAGACAGAAAAGAAUAUCUCUUGGCAAGUACACUAGUUGCUACAGACUGAGGAACUGCUGUACAUAAGCAAUCUAAUACUUUUUGCCUGAGAACAGGAGCACGAGUUCCAGAUCUUUCUUUGCCAGUAACAGCAUAUCUAAUGCAAGAUGCCCAUUCAGGAACUGAUUCCACAGAUGGAGCUAACACAACCUUCUGCAAUUGAAGCAUCAACCAGUCACUCCCAGACUCCAAAUCCCCACUGACAUCAGAGUGAAGCAUGCCCGCCAUAGCUUCAGCCGCCACACAUUGCCUUGAUCUUUCUUUUGAACUCAGAAAUUCUUCUAGUGCAGUCUGAAGUGAGGACAUUACUGGCAUUCCGCAUUGUUGUAUAAGCCUUUUGAAUAUCUUAGCAAAGCUGGAAUAGAAUGUGCCACCGCCCACUAAAGAAAUCCAACUAGGGGUACAUGGCCACGAGGCAGAGAAAUCAAAAUAGAAGUAAGUGAUUGCUUUAUCAGAUCCGCUUUGAAACGAUGAAGCACCAUAACUUGCUUUUGAUGAACCAUCACUAUCAGAAAUAAUAUGUACAUGUGAGAGACUGUUUAGUGUAUCAUUCAUGAAUCCUUCCUCCUGGAUUAUGUCAUUCAGAAGCCUUCCUGUUGACAAAAUAUUGCAUUCUUCAGGGUGAUCUAAUGAUUGUUGUGAAUCUUCCACAGAUGCCUUGUGAGGUGAUCCUUCUAAUAGUGUGUUCAGAGCAGAUAUUGCAAGCAUCCUUGAGUGGGGGAGUUGACUCUUCAAAUUUCUUAAGAAAUGACCUAGCAUAAAACAGAUAUUUUAAACAAUGAAGGACAAACCCAUGACUACGGAAGUUCUUUCAGGAACGUGCAGCUGGAGAAAAUGACAAUGAAAAUAUGGCAUACAUGUUCAUUUCAAUGUUACGAAAAGAAACUACAAACAGGAGAAGCUGUGCAUACCAGCAGUCUCUGCCAGGAUUUGUGAAUAAAUGUCAGGCUCACUUCUAGAUGCCAAAAUUAGCAACAGAAGUACUCUAUUAGCCAUCAGGUUGUACCUGGAAGUAUACAGCUUACAGGUUAAAAUAAAAUGUAUGUAAAUAGCAGGGAAGAUAGUCAUUUUAUUCCGACAGAAUGGCAUGACAGUUAUUAUUGAGAUCAAAUUAUUGGGAUGAAUAAGGAAUAGUAGAUUUCACGCUAUUGUCUUUGUAGGAGUGCUACUACAUACGGAAAGCUUCUAAUGACAAAUCAGUUCAGAAGAAAGCUUUAGAGAAUUAUCAAAUUCCUCCAGUUCCACCAGAAUUAUGAGAACCAUGUCCCAUCAUCCCAUCACAAUUCACACGCCAUGUUGCCAACAAGAAAUGUUGUGCUCAAGUAGCCAGCUGCAUAUAUGGUUACAACAUAUUCAGACCUCCCAGCGUACAGAUACACCCUUUUUCCAUACACCCUGCAUCAUCUUGUUGGGGCACGAGAUUCUAUAAUUGUUGCAACAAUGCAGCUAUAUUGCAGUCUUGCAGUUACAGAGCAACGCUUUGGACAAACAUGUCAACAGAUUUGCGGUUCUUGUAACAACAGAAAUACUAAGUUUCGAAGUCAACAUAAACAUGCAUCUCGGAAAAGGUAAGACAUAUUUAAGCUGACCAGCUUCUAGUACCAUCCAAACUGCACAGUGGUCUAUAUUGAAGUAUAUGUGGAUUGCCCAACCAUUUCCAUCAGUUCGGACGUAUGGUUCUACUGGUUGGUGCAUAAAAAACUUAAUACGGCAUCAGAGCCAAGAGGUCUCAGGUUCAAGUUUCGGCUUCCGCAAUUUAGAUGAAAAAAUUGCUUGCCUUCUUUCUGCCCACUUUUAGGCCAUAUCAAGCCUCACGUGGAACUCGUAAGAAAUUAUCUAUGGUAAGAUUAAAUUAGAGAACCAGAAAAAAUAAUAGAGGGAAUUUGUUUGACAUAUUUGUCAAAAACAGAGAGGUCUUAGGUAUUUUUCAAGGUAAGAAAAAACGUAAGUGCUAGAUGUUAAUACAGAUGCCGCAGUUUUUGGCAUAGAGUUGGCAUAUAGCUUACCUCCAAUGUAGACUGUUAGUCUCAAAGCCCAAAGCAUUAAUUUGAGAAAAUAAUCCAAGAAAUCCUGGCCUGUCAGCCAGACUUUGAGAAUUCUUGAAAAAAGACCUUGAUAUUCCAGAGAAACGUAUGUUGUAUUUCACAAAGAGCUGUAAACAUCAUAUACAGAAUAUUUAGUGGCAAAUAUCAUGUUUUAGUUUUCUCCGUCUUAUGUUUAUGAAACUUACCUCAGUAAUAGCUUUCUGACACUUUAUCGAUUCAUGAUGAGAGCUACAGAACAAGAAGAUUAGAUUUAGUACAUACAUAUCAAUAAGGUGCUCUUUUAACAAAGGAUACUGCAUGCUUCUCUUUCCUUGUUUGUUGAGUGUUAAAUACUCAUAUUCUUUUGUGUAUGUGUAAAGAAACAUUACUGGUAGUUCUAAGCUAUUAGAAACGAUUAGGGAAAACCUAGAGUAUCUGCCAAUUACCUUCCCAAAAUUCCCAUGAUAAAUGAAGAGAGGGAAGCAGAAUCCUACAUUGAACAAUUAUGUUAAUAUAAUUAAAAUCACUGAUAUAACUUAUAUAUGAUUGUGAAAUAGACAUACAGUUGUCAAGUGUCUCAAAACAGUCUGUGAUGCAAGAAUGCUGCAAGAACCAAGCACCACAUGUUCCAGGGCUUUCGAAUCACGCAAAUUCUCAGUCAGGGUAAGAACACAAUCAGAAAUUAGAGAAGGCCAGUGCUUCAGCAUUUUUGUUAGCGAUCUUCCAGCAUACCUGGAAACAUGGUAACAAAGUAAAGUAGGUCACUGAUGUAUGACCACAUAACCCUUUGAUUGAAACUUCAUUUCUGCUAUGGGGUCAUGAUCAAUAUCAGCCAGAUAAAGAAAACUACGAACAAAUCAAUAUCCACAACUGUGCGUUGUUAUAUUCCAAAAACAGAGAAAAACAGAAACAUACAGUAGUCAGAAUCAACAGUUUCUCGAGUUACUAUGUAUUAUGCUGAUGGUAAUAUUCGAACGAAAAUACAUACUAACAGCCUAAACAGAAGUUGCAAGCUACAUGUCACAUGUAAAUAAAGAGGGAAAGAGAGCUUACGAGCGAACAGUUUCAUAGUUGUGUAGUGAGAGAUCUAGGAGAUCCUUCACCAAAUUAACCAUGAGGCUAGACGGAGAUACAUUGGCAUUUGUCCGGUAUCUGUGGUAUGAUGAUUGUGAACAUCUCCACGUAUUAUGCAAGUGUGCUUUAUCGACAAGUGCCCAUCUAGGUCUAACAGAAAUAAGAGACUGAAUUUCAAUCGCAAUCCAUGUAAUGGAAUCAGACUAGAAAGUAGGACCAAUAUAUACCUCUUUUUGCCCUGAGCAUGGAAUGGAACAAUAAAGUUGCAUUGAGGCUCAAUGAUGGCAGCAGACUCUAAUUUCCAAGCUUGAACAUGACUUGACCAUUCAUCAUAUUCCAAGCUACCUACAGCAGUACACUGUCAUGUAAGCAGUCAAAAGUACAGUGUGCAAGUUUCUAAGAUAGCUAUCAUACCAUAGUUCACCAAAGCAUCAAUCACGCGUACUACAAGUGCUAGGAGAAUACUAUCAUCAGUUCUUUCCUUUAAUAAGUACCUGUUAAAAGAAUUGUGAAUGCUGAGAAUAAAUAAACUUGCAAAUGAUGAAAGCAAAUAAGCUUUAAAAUGAUUAGUAAGUAGAACUGGGUGCAGUACGAAUGUACAUUACCUGCAAGCUAUGUGCACAAGUUCUGCAGCCUUUUCACGCAUCUCUGAGCUGCCAACGGUGCUACCAGAAGAUCCUGCAAUAAAGAAACUGGGCUCUACUACCUUGGACCUCCCAUCUUUAUAUGAUGGACGCAGUUCAGGUAAGCACGACAUUACACCCUGCAAUGCAGAAUGAAUGCGCAAUAGCGUUAUUUUUAGGUGCUCCUUUUCAUCUCCUGCCAAAAGAACAGAAUAACAGGGUAUCAAGGGGACACUCGGGCAAAGAGAACAAUGACAAAAAUAAGAAAAACAACUUAAUUAUUAACAUAGAUUGGUGUAAUCAGCUUCCUGUCAGAUUAGCAUACAUGCUUUAACAUAUGCAUAACCAAGCCGGAAAAAAACAUACAGGGUUAUCUCGUUGGUCAGAACAAGAAUAUAUGUACCUGUCUCAGACUGAACUUCCAUCUGGCAAAUAGUCAAAAGCUCUUCCACAGCCGACUGAAAAUGAAAUUCUAACAAUUCGUUUGCAAAAGAUAGUUCAUCUUGACUGGGAUCAUGCCACUUCGGAGGAAAAUUAAGCAUUUCAACCUCCCUGUCCUGAUGAGCUUUUGAACAACCCCAUGGCUCAAUAAUAUUAGCAAUGGACUGACAAGAAAAUGGCCUAUAAAAUAACAAGAUUUUGUUGGAUAACAUCUUUUAAAGAUCAAAUGAUAAAAUCAGACAGAUGUAAAUAAGCUAGACAUACUUAUACUGAUCUAGUGGAUAAAAUGAAACCAGGCUUCCUAGCACAGAGCGAAGGAGAUGAUCACCAGCUCCAUUGACCUGAUUAUUCCAAAGGAAUUCAUCAUUUCAAAGUGUAACAUAUAAUGGGUGACUGUCUGUCGAAAUGUAUGAAAGAUAAGAGGAAAUAUAAACCUUCCAUGAAGGGGCCUGGAAUGCAGACAUUAUUACGUGCUUUAAUUCUUCUCUAUAGCUCAGUAAGACAGGACCCGCAUAACUGAUGGAUAUAGCCAAAACCCUCAGAUAGUAGUCCAAUGCUGUUUCUAGAGCAGGAGAAAGUGUAGCCUGCAUGUGCAUACAAGGCAGCUGGUGUGUAAUGAAUGUAAGAGCUCAACCAACAAAUGUUACAGGUUUUGAACGAACCUUAGUAGACAUAUUGUUAGGAACUUCUCUUCCAACAUAACCUGUUGUGGGGGUACCUUCGAAGGAGGACAUGAUAGUCAUUAAGAUAGGCUUUACAAGGUAGACUGAAGCCUCCUCAGGAUAUGAAUGAACACAGGCACAACAAAGAAGUCCAACUUCUGAAGUGGCACCAGGAAGGAUAUUUGCAUUGACGAACUUGGCAAUUUUCUUAAGGGACUGCCAAUUGGAAAAUCAAGAAGCAUGAGCAUGACAGAAAAUUCACAUGUUAAACCUUUUAGGACAAGGAGGUGGAGCAUUUAAUUAAAAAAGCGCAAUACCUGAUUAAAUAAGGUUUUUGAUAACUUUCCCAGAACUAUUUCUAGCAUGCAAAAAUAGUGAGGGCUGUCCUCGACGAGAAAAGUUCCCGGCAUGAUUGAGGUCUGGUAACCCUCCGCGCUGCCACAACAAAAAGAGAAAGAUAUCAUUUAGCAUGUCCUCCAAAAAUAAUUCAGUAGUAAUGACAAUUUAAAAGUUUAGCAACCACAGCUUACAUGGCACUACUUGAUUCCAGAUUCUGAAGCACAGAAAACAGCCGACAAAAGAAUUCAUGUAGCCAAUCCGAUAGAGAGGAAGUUUGGAGGAAAGCAGGCACAUCAUCACUAACACCAACUGUAGCCAGCUAUAAGCACCAAACAAUGGUUAACUAAAUGCUGCACAGCAAUAUCAUAAACCAGUGUGCAAAGACAAGGUUAAAUCAUAUAAAUACUUACAUUUGAAAAUAUUGAGCCAAUUAAUUGCAUCGUAGCUACAGUUUUAGGUGGAUCGUUGGCAUCCAUACCAAGCAAUGCAUUUGAAAGGGAAGUGACAAUAAGAUCAUAGAGUGUAUCAAUCAUGCUACUAUCACCAGAUUGAGUUGAGCAUAAAGAACUUAGAAGAAGCGCCCGUCCAGAAAAUGCGACAGAUGUGACAGCAUUCUUUAACUGGUGGGUGGCAGUAGUCUGUCAGGAAAAAGUAAAGUCGUUAGCUUGCUUGCGAGUUAACUGAAAACUAUAAAUAUUGGCAUAUUUUAGGGCUCCUGCAUGUCAUAAUGACAUCCAAGCUCAAGAAAAAUAGUAACAGGUAUGCUGCAUGUGUUGCCAAACUUACUGUCUCCAAGGCUAGUUGGAAGUUCGUUGCGACAAACGGAAGCACCAAGGAUGGCUCGACAUAAGACAGGAUUGAAGUUGCAAUGGAUACUGUUUCAGCAAGAGAAUCAUCCUUGCUGUACUGACCACGAUCCAGUAAUUUCAGCACUACUUUGAUAAAAACAGCUCUCUCUUCUUUUCCCAAACAGAACUGCUCAUUUUUCUCAUCCAUUGUGUCACUGCAUUGCCAUUAUUAAAUCAGAUGAUGCAAGCAAUAAAAUUCUCAUGUGGCACAAGAUACUUCAAGCUGCAGCAUGAGUUAAGAUUGAUCACUUACAAUUGUUCAUGUUGAAGACGUCUUUCAAAGUAAAAAACAAGAUACCGCAGAAAACGCUCCAAUGAGUAGGUCCAGCGACCCCCAUUUGAUGGAUGAUAGAAUCUAAAUGCCAGAAAGACAUAAGUUAAAACAAAAUAAAGAGCCAGUGCGACAAGCAAAAAGAAGUACAAGGACCAGAAGACAAACUGUUCUAGAAAAUUUAUGAGCUUCUCAAAUUGUUCCAGUGCCAGACUUUUAGGCUUCAAAAGGUACACCUGCAAACAAAAAUAAAAGAUAAUAUUAGUCGUAUCUUGCUUUGGUUAAACAAUGCAACAAGCCGUAAUGUUUACAAAAUAUCAUGCUGUAGUAUUUUUUUUCUAUGGCAAGUUUGUUAUAUAUGAACUAAAACAUGAAUAGCAGGGAUAACUUUAUCAGCAGAAUACACCAUAAAUUAUUAGCUAGUGACUGAACAAGUGGUUAGAAUCAUAAGAAAGUUGGCCCCAUUAUUCAUGCAUAUUUUAUGCUGAUACCAAGACAUCAAAUAUUAAAGGCUUAAGUGCAUAAAAUCUUCCACAAGCUGUCAAGAAAAAAUAGUUGAAAGGAUAAGGAUAGCUUACAACAGACUUUGCAAUUGCCUUGGAAGGUGAUCUGGUCUUACUUGAGAACAAAAAUCUUGUGUUCCUAGGCACCUCCACUGGAAAAGGGUACGACCCAUUCCCACUGGAUAUAGGAACCUAGCAACAGAGACAAAAAUAUAUUAAUGAUUGUGGAAAAGAUUUUGUAAUCCUACUUUAAUGGAUUUACCAUACAUAAUGCUACUUUAAAUCUGACAGCUGAAUAACAUAUGACGAACGUUGUGAUAUAUAUCACAACCGUAUGAAUAUUUUUGGUAUUUACAGUAAACAAAAUCUAAGUACCAACUAGAUUUGGCUUCGUAACACUGAAGAAUGAAUAUAAGCUUGACUCGGAUUAGCAAGAAAUUUGAUGACAUCCAAGAGAACAUUGUACUCGCCUCAGUAUUUGUGAUGCGGAGCAUCCCAAGGUCAUCCCCGUGGACCUACCAUCGUCUCAUCAAGUGCCUACCGGACCCAUGACUCGAUCACGUGCAAGAGCCCUUGAAACCGAGAUGACAUCUCUCCUCUCACAAUUCCACUUCGAUGCACAUGAAGCAUGGCUACUACCUCAUAUGGAUACUUUGUGCAUACUCAGGUACAAUGGAGAAGCUAAGGAGCAAGGACAAGAAGAAGAGGAAGAUGGACGAGAAGACGGAGAAGAAGAAGGGCUGCCGGAAAAGACCCAGCCACCGGACGACCGGCCGGGACCGGACGUCCGGCGCCUGAAGCAUCUGCCGAGUCCCAGCCAGCGGACGUCCGGUCCAGACCAGACGACCGGUGCCCCGACACCCGAAGCAAACGAGCGGACGUCCGGUCCAGACCGGAUGACCGGUGCCCCUGCACCCGAGGCCAAUGAGCGGACGUCCGGCCCCGACCGGACGACCAGCGCGACCACACCCAAGCCGAAGUCAGCGGAAGUCCGGAGCCUCCGGACGUCCGGCACCCCCAUCACAGAGCGGAAUCAGCGGACGACCGGAGGACACCGGACGUCCGGCAGCUCCUGAGACACCGGACGACCGGUCCCCAGCGGACGUCCGGUACCUGUCUGCGCACAGUGUUCGGGCCUGAGGCCCAUGUACCCCUUCACUUCGCCCCCAUUUGCACUUAAGACUAUAAAUAGACCCCCCAUUCAUCCUAGCUAGGGUUAGCAUUGGUUUAGCUCAUUUGAGAGAUAGAGCAUUGCUCAUCCAUAUCGAAUCUACUCCUGGAGAGAGACCGCGACCCCUCUUCGGAGAGGAUCCACCUUGGAUUCAAGACCUUGCGGAGAAGAUCCCCUUGUCGAUUCAAGACCUCCUCACGGAGGAGAACCGGUUACCGUGUAUCGUCCCUAGUUGUCCAUGGAUUCAUGUAUCGUUCUAUGUACUCAAGGAUCUAGCCCAUGUGUGACUUAUUCGUGUCGGUUUAGUGAUUUCCUCUUGUGUUUACCUUCCGUUCAUCCUCGUGUUCUUCGUGUUUUUUCCCCGGGAUCCGCUCCUUUCGUGAAAGAUCGAGCUAUAGGGUCUCUACCCUACAUCAUCUUGGUAUCAUGAGCCAGGUUCAUCACGAUUUCGGAGCCCCCUCUUCGUUUUUCUAGCUUGAUUUUGUUGUUUUUCGUCCUAAUCCGAAAAUCCCCACAAAAUUAGCCCUAAAAAUUUUUCUUGUGUUUUGUGAGUUUUGAUGAUGUUUUGUUGGUUUUGAUCCGUGAAUUUGUUGCGUUGCAAGUAGAUCUAGCCUUUACCCACCAUCUCCACCUCGAAAUCCCUCCCAAAUUCCCCAUAUUCCCCCCAAAAUCACCUCCCGGAUCUAAAAUUUCGGUUGACCUCGACCACCAGACGACCGUCACAUCACCAGACGUCCGGCGACCCAGGAAGCACCGGACGUCCGACCCGACCGGACGACCGGCGACUGGACAUCCGUCCACUACCGGACAUCCGCUACACCACCACCGACUUUCCGCAAUCUUUGCCAAUAUCCCAACCCACACCACCACCUAACCGAUACCUACUCCGACGAUUUUGAUCGCCUUUGGUUUUGAGAAUUUGAGUUGCGGUACCGUAUCCUUUUGUGUUUCGGCUAUCUAGGUACGGUUCGACAUCGACACCACCGCCGCUCAUUUUCGCCACGGACGCGUCAUCAACACCGGUCAUCAACAACGACCACCUCGACUACGACUUGGUAUUCGUGCCACCAUUUUGACACCAUACCGGAAGCAAGACCGGUAACCUCAUCUUGGUAGUGGACAUAUCACUCUUGCCAUUACAUUGAUAGCCAUCAUCGCCUUACUCCUUUGCGUUGCUUACCCAUCGAGACUAGCCAUUGAGUAUUGCCGGCAACGAGACUUGUGCACUUUAGUGAUCAUACUUCCCAUAGCAUACAUACAUACAUCAUUGUUGCCUAUAUUGGUAUCAUCUCUUGUGUCACUAAGUUGUCAUCGCAUACUCACUUACUAUCUUGGUUCGUCAAGCAUUGCAUGAGAAAAGAGCUCAAACAUCAAAGAGCCAACCAAGCUUUUAAGCAAAGAGGAAAGAUAAGCAAAGAGCUUUUAAGCAAGAACCAUAGCAUCAUACAACAUUAAGAUUGUCAUACUCGAUCAUCUUGGAUCAUAUCAUAGCAACACCUUGCAUAAAACAUAUUUGGGAUAGAAGUAGUUGCAUUUUUGCUAAGUAGGUUGUGCACAAGUUCUUGUAUCCGCCUAUCGUGCAAUCGUGCUAGCGUCUCUCUAGUGUUGUGCAACAAGAGCAUUUUUUGUGGAUUCCACAUUUUGGCUCACCCUUGGUUGCACAACCCCACUUAUCUUUUUGCGUGUGUGUUUCUGUGUACCGUAUAUGCUUGGUCUACUUGUUACAUCGCAUCUUGCGAAUCUUCUCCAACAUUAUUGAAUCUUGCUUACAUUCACAUUAAAAAUUGUGCCACCAUCCUAACCAAGCUCCACCAUAAGCUUUUACUUGUGUAGGUGUGAGAAACCGACGAGAAUUCGUACCAAUUGGGCUAUUUCCUUGUCCUACAUUGGAGUGAUCAUCGAUUCACUUUCAACUUCGAUCAAGGUACAUUUGGUAUUCGUUCUUCUCUUUCUACCACUCACACUUGUCUUGGAAUGAUGGAUAGGUCAAGUACUUCUACCAACCCACUCUUCAUGGAGCAAGAUGACGACAUGAACUCCUUCACCAAGAGUCAUCUCUUCGGUGCACAACGUGCUUUGCAUCAAGAGCAACAAGCUAUGAGUGAACGCAUCGACAACCUUGCCGCCGACUUGCGACUUUCCGAGCAACGUACAAGGGACUACUUCGACCACAAGCUCGACGAUCACAAGCAAGAGAAUGACGCAAGGAUGGACGAGAAUCGCGCUUUGUUGCUCAACCGCUCUUCUUCCACUUCAAGAAGGAGCCGUUCAAGUCGCCAUUCCGACUCAAGUACACCGACUUCGAACACUCCUCGUCGAGCCGCGCGCACCGACAAUCAAGCAAACCUCAAUCCGCUUCGGGACACCGACUCUCAAGAGCGUCGUCGACGUCAAGCCGAAGAAGCCUUUGCGCUAGCUCGAGAACGGCAACAACAACGCCAACAUGAAGAGGAAGAACGCGCGCGUCUACACCAAAAUGCACAAAAUACCGAGGCUCAACGUCAAGAACAACAACUCCGUGACGCUCAAGCACUUGAGGCGCAACAAGCUCUACGUGAUGCGAGUCGAGCCGUUGCCGACCGAGGCCGACAAGCCCGUGAAGAAGAGGAAGCACUUCGCGAAGAACUUCAUGAACGACGAUUUCAAGCUCACAUGCAUCGUCUAGUUCCCCCUCGAGCUCGACGCGUUCCUCCACAAGCUCGCCAAGACCAUCAAGUUCAUCAAGAGCAUGAAGACAAUGGGAACCCUCCGCGUCAAGAGCACCACAAGUUGGACAAUCAUCUGCAACAUGGGCGUCAUCAUCCCCGACCCCAACACAAUGAAGAGCAACGCUACGGCAAGCUCAAGUUCACCAUGCCCAAGUUCAACGGAAGCAACGAUCCCGAAGAAUACCUUUCAUGGGCAUUGAAAGUUGACAAGAUCUUCCGUUUGCACAAUUAUGAAGAAGAGAAGAAGAUCGCGAUGGCAUCCCUUGAGUUCCAAGACUAUGUCCUCAUUUGGUGGGAACAAGUCAUUGAGCGCCGCGAGGCAAGAGGUGAUCCACCCAUCACUACUUGGGCACAAAUGAAGGAUGUCAUGAGAGCACGAUUCGUGCCUACCUACUACAACCGCGACCUCUUCAAGAAACUCCAACAACUCAAGCAAGGAACCAAGAGCGUUGAAGAAUACUACAAGGAGAUGGAGAUUGCAAUGAUAAGAGCCAAUGUGACGGAAGAUGAUGAGCAAACUAUGGCACGUUUCUUGAAUGGACUCAAUCAUCCCAUCAAGAAGAUCGCCGACUUCCAACCAUACUCAAAUCUCAUCGAGCUCGUGCACCAAGCUACCAAAGCGGAACGCCAAGUGCAAGAUGAUUUCAAGUAUGCCAAAUUCUCAAACAAGUCAUACGGCUUCUCCAAUAACCAAGCUUCAACGACGCCAACACAAACUACAAGACCGUCUACUUCCAACAUCAACAAGUCGACUUCCAAGAAAGCUUCGCCUACUACAAGCAACUUCAAGCCAAGAGCUUCAUCAUCAACAACCCCUACCGAUGAGACCGUCAAGACGAGUUCCCUCAAGUGUUUCACUUGCGGCGGCCGAGGCCACAAGUCCUAUGAGUGCACCAACAAGCGCACCAUGAUCUUCAACGACGAUGGCACUUAUGAUUCCAUGAGCGAAGGAGAAAUGGAAGCCCUUGAGCAAGUCGCCAUGCACCGCCAAGUGAACAAUGAAGAAGAACAAGUCUUUUGUGAUGAAAACUCAAGUCCCGCACUUGUUGUCUCCAAAGUCUUGACUCUCCAACAUCACCAAGAAGAAGACCAAAGAUGCACCAUAUUCCACACCAAGGCCGGCAUCAAUGGACGAUCUGUCAAGGUCAUCAUCGAUGGAGGGAGUUGUCACAAUCUCGCAAGUGAAGAACUUUGCUUCAAGCUCCAAUUGCCCAAGACGAAGCAUCCACAUCCAUACAAAGUGCAAUGGCUUAGUGACUCCGGUACCAUCCAAGUCGAGCACCGAGUACAAGUCUCUUUCAAAAUCGGCGCCUACGAAGACACCUUGGAGUGCGACGUCAUCCCAAUGACCGUUUGCCAUCUUCUCCUUGGACGACCAUGGCAAUUCGAUAGAGGAGUCGUCCACAAUGGGCGUACCAACCACUAUAGCUUCAAGAUGCAAGGAAAGGAGUUUGUGUUACGACCUAUGUCUCCAAGCCAAGUGAUCACCGAUAAGCAAGCCACCCAUCGUGGAGAGAAUGGUGAGAGAAUGAACCACCAAAAAGAGAGUGAGCGCCACAAGCCCAAAUUGAGUGCCUCCACGAUGAGCGAAAACAAGAACUUCGUUCUACUUGCCACCAAACGUGAGAUGAGAGAAGUGUGUGAGAACCCAUCUAGUGUCCUACACUACGUCCUCGUGUGCAAGGACAAUACAACACAAACUAACACUUCUCACACUCUUCCUCUAGUGUUGUCUUCUCUUUUGCAGGAAUUUUAAGAUGUUUUCCCCGAUGAGCUACCUCCGGGACUACCUCCACUACGAGGCAUUGAGCACCGCACCGACCUCAUCCCCGGAGCACCACUUCCGAACAAAGCUCCCUACCGCAUCAACCCCGAAGAAACCAAAGAAAUUCAAAGGCAAGUAAAGCAUCUCAUAGACCAUGGUCAUGUGCGUGAAAGUUUGAGCCCUUGUGCCGUACCGGUCAUUCUUGUGCCAAAACGUGACGGUAGCUUUCGCAUGUGCUCCGAUUGUAGACCUAUCAAUGCUAUCACCGUUCGUUAUAGGUAUCCCAUUCCACGCCUAGAUGAUAUGCUAGAUGAGCUUAGUGGUGCCACUAUAUUUUCCAAAAUUGAUCUUAAGAGUGGUUACUAUCAAAUCCGCAUACAAGAGGGUGAUGAAUGAAAAACCACAUUCAAAACCAAGUUUGGUUUGUAUGAGUGGUUAGUCAUGCCUAUGGGUCUCUCGGAAGCACCGAGCACUUUUAUGCGCCUUAUGAAUCAUGUCUUUCGCCCUUACAUUGGUAUAUUUGUUCUGGUUUACUUAGAUGACAUUCUUGUGUUUAGCAAAUCUAUCCAAGAGCAUGUCACCCAUGUCCGCACCGUUUUGCAAACUCUUAGAAAAGAGCGUCUCUAUGCUAAUAUGGAGAAAUGCCUUUUGGUGUUGAUAAGCUCGUUUUCUUAGGUUUUGUGAUCUCUUCUAAGGGUGUUCAUGUAGAUGAGUCCAAAAUCAAUGCUAUUAAGACUUGGCCGCAACCAACCAACUUGCAUCAAGUGCGUAGUUUUCUUGGUCUUGCGGGUUUCUAUCGUCGCUUUGUGAAGGAUUUUAGCACCAUUGCUUCGCCUUUGCAUGCUUUGAGCAAGAAGAAUGCGCCGUUUAUUUGGGGACCAUCCCAAGAUACCGCAUUCAAUGAGCUUAAGAAUUUGCUUACUCAUGCUCCCGUGCUUGCUUUACCCAACUUCGACAAGCCUUUUGAGAUUCAUUGCGAUGCUAGCGGUAAUGGCAUAGGAGGUGUGUUAACGCAAGAGAAGCGACCCAUAGCUUACUUUAGUGAGAAACUUUCCGGAGCGCAACUCAACUAUCCCAUCUAUGACAAAGAGCUAUAUGCUUUAGUCCGUGUUUUACAUGAAUGGGAACAUUACCUUCGUCCCCAUGAGUUUAUCAUUCAUACCGAUCAUGAGACCCUCAAGUAUCUCAAGGGUCAAACUAGUUGAACAAGCGUCAUGCUAAAUGGAGUGAAUUCAUUGAGUCUUUUCCCUAUGUCAUCAAGUACAUCAAGGGUAAAGAAAACAUCGUAGCAGAUGCUCUUUCCCGCAUAUGCAUGCUAGUCACGCAACUUGAGUUAGAUGUCAUUGGCUUCGGGCAUAUCAAAGAAUUGUAUGCGCAUGAUGAGACUUUUGCCACUCCUUAUGCCAAGUGUUUGUCGCAUACAUCGUGGGAACGCUAUUACAUCAAAGACGGCUAUCUUAUGAGAGCUAACAAACUUUGCAUCCCCAAGUCGUCCCUUCGUUUAUUGCUUUUGCAGGAAUCGCAUGGAGGAGGAUUAAUGGGACAUUUCGGACGCGACAAGACGUUCACCACGCUCUCGAAGAGCUACUUUUGGCCAAAGAUGUUUCGGGACGUCAAUCGCUUCACCAACCGAUGUUCGACAUGCCGCAAAGCUAAGUCCAAAGCUCAAUCUCAUGGUCUCUAUAUGCCUUUACCAAUUCCAUACCAACCUUGGGAGGACAUAAGCAUGGACUUUAUACUUGGUUUGCCAAAACUCGCAAUGGGAAAGAUUCCAUAUUUGUCGUUGUGGACCGUUUCUCCAAAAUGGCACAUUUUAUUCCUUGUCACAAGAUAGACGAUGCUUCACAUGUUGCUAAUCUCUUUUGUAGGGAAAUAUUGCGUCUCCAUGGUGUGCCAAAGACAAUUGUCUUGGACUGCGACGUCAAGUUCCUUAGCUACUUUUGGAAGACCCUAUGCGCCAAGCUCGGAAUCAAGCUACUCUUCUCCACGGCGUACCAUCCUCAAACCGACGGCUAAACGGAGGUGACAAACCGCACACUCUCUGCUCUACUUCGAGUACUCAUCAAGAAGAACAUCAAGGAGUGGGAGGAGUGCCUACCUAUCGCCGAGUUCGCCUACAACCGAGCAAGACACUCAACAACCGGCAAGUCGCCUUUCGAGGUCGUUUACAGAUUCAACCCAUUGUCACCAUUGGACAUUUUUCCUCUACCACUCCAAGAGGGCAUCAAUUUGGACGCAAGUGCGCGUGUGACACAUCUCGAGAAGAUGCAUGAAGAUACAAGAAACACCAUCGAGCGCCAAGUUCAACGCCUUGCGACCAAGCUCAACUUCAACAAGCAACCUAUGGUCUUCAACACUGGUGAUCAAGUGUGGCUACACCUUCGCAACGACCGCUUCCCACAAGAACGCAAAUCCAAGCUUCGACCACGAGCGGAUGGACCCUUCAAGGUGCUUGCACGCUACAACGACAACGCUUACAAGAUCGACCUCCCGCGCAACAAGUACAACGUGAGCGACAUCUUCGACGUCAAAGAUCUCUCUCCCUUCCAUGGUGAUGAAGAUUUUGAUCCGAGGACGGAUCUUCCCCAAGGGAGGGGAGAUGAUGCGGAGCAUCCCAAGGUCAUCCCCAUGGACCUACCAUCGUCUCAUCAAGUGCCUACCGGACCCAUGACUCGAUCACGUGCAAGAGCCCUUGAAACCGAGAUGACAUCUCUCCUCUCACAAUUCCACUUCGAUGCACAUGAAGCACGGCUACUACCUCAUAUGGAUACUUUGUGCAUACUCAGGUACAAUGGAGAAGCUAAGGAGCAAGGACAAGAAGAAGAGGAAGAUGGAUGAGAAGACGGAGAAGAAGGGCUGCCGGAAAAGACCCAGCCACCGGACGACCGGCCAAGACCGGACGUCCGGCGCCUGAAGCAUCUGCCGAGUCCCAGCCAGCGGACGUCCGGUCCAGACCGGACGACCGGUGCCCCGACACCCGAAGCAAACGAGCGGACAUCCGGUCCAGACCGGACGACCGGUGCCCCUGCACCCGAGGCCAAUGAGCGGACGUCCGACCCCGACCGGACGACCGGCGCGACCGCACCCAAGCCAAAGUCAACGGAAGUCCGGAGCCUCCGGACGUCCGGCACCCCCAUCAUAGAGCGGAACCAGCGGACGACCGGAGGACACCGGACGUCCGGCAGCUCCUGAGACACCGGACGACCGGUCCCCAGCGGACGUCCGGUACCUGUCUGCGCACAGUGUUCGGGCCUGAGGCCCAUGUACCCCUUCACUUCGCCCCCAUUUGCACUUAGACUAUAAAUAGACCCCCCAUUCAUCCUAGCUAGGGUUAGCAUUGGUUUAGCUCAUUUGAGAGAUAGAGCAUUGCUCAUCCAUAUCAGAUCUACUCCUCGAGAGAGACCGCGGCCCCUCUUCAGAGAAGAUCCACCUUGGAUUCAAGACCUCCUUGCGGAGAAGAUCCCCUUGUGGAUUCAAGACCUCCUCACGGAGGAGAACCGGUUACCGUGUAUCGUCCCUAGUUGUCCGUGGAUUCGUGUAUCGUUCUAUGUACUCGAGGAUCUAGCCCAUGUGUGACUUAUUCAUGUCGGUUUAGUGAUUUCCUCUUGUGUUUACCUUCCGUUCAUCCUCGUGUUCUUCGUGUUUUUUCCCCGGGAUCCGCUCCUUUCGUGAAAGAUCGGGCUAUAGGGUCUCUACCCUACAUCAUCUUGGAAUAGUGCACUAUAGUACUUCAAUAGUCUAUAGUGGACAAGGUGUGGUUGGUACUAUAUUGGCGAAAAACAGUUAUCGGGAGCAAUGAAUCUAAUGAUGAUACAUGGACCUCCAUGCCCCUUAAUACAAUAUAAUGGCAUUUGUUCAGACCUCUAACUAUUAGAUUUUUUUCCGCAAAAGCGGUCAACGUAUGUAGCCUCCAAGACAAGGAAAGCUCCAUGUUUCCUUGUAUGUUAUAUUGCUUUAGUCUUGUUGUGACUUUGCUCAUCUUUUAUACACUCCAUCAUUUAUCAUUUUUUCCCAUUAUUCCUUCUUGAAAGUAAGGCAAGUUCUAUAGGACGGCGGUUCGACCCGCAAUGUUGUAUGGCGCUGAGUGUUGGCCGACUAAAAAGCGACAUGUUCAACAGUUAGGUGUGGCAGAGAUGCGUAUGUUGAGAUGGAUGUGUGGCCACACGAGGAAGGAUCGAGUCCGGAAUGAUGAUAUACGAGAUAGAGUUGGGGUAGCACCAAUUGAAGAGAAGCUUGUCCAACAUCGUCUGAGAUGGUUUGGGCAUAUUUAGCGCAGGCCUCCAGAAGCUCCAGUGCAUAGCGGACGGCUAAAGCGUGCGGAGAAUGUCAAGAGAGGGCAGGGUAGACCGAAUUUGACAUGGGAGGAGUCCGUCAAGAGAGACCUGAAGGAUUGGAGUAUCACCAAAGAGCUAGCUAUGGACAGGGGUGCGUGGAAGCUUGCUAUCCAUGUACCAGAGCCAUGAGUUGGUUGCGAGAUCUUAUGGGUUUCACCUCUAGCCUACCCCAACUUGUUUGGGACUAAAGGCUUUGUUGUUGUUGUCGUUGUAUUCCUUCUUGAAAGUAUUUUAAGAAAGUGGAAAACAUUCUGUUCGGGAGAAAUCAUCAGAAAAGCAAAAAUUUCUGUAUGUUGUUUUUCCAUACUCAUCUUUUCGACCCCUUCCUUCACUUGAUCAUCAUUGUUUUGAUGUUUUCACUUUUUUCUCAUUAUUAUUUCUUCAUGAAUGCAGUUGAAGAAAGUUAGUUAUUUAGUUUCAGAGGAAACAUCUCAUAAACGAACAAAACAGAUGUCAGUUUCUCGCCUUCAGCAGAUGAAAAAUUACCGAUAAGAUGAUGGUAUUAGUUUUAUCAGAUCUGGAAGCUUUACUCUGAAGUUAUAUAUUCUUUGUAUGUUUUGCAAACACAAGCAUGCCACAUCGUCAAUAUCACCGAUGCCUAUUAUAGAAACACUCGGCUAUGCUUCCAGCACCUCAAAAGAAAACUUUGGUCCACCUUCAUGUAAGAGUGAAAAACUUGGAUGGAAUCCGACAGGCCAAUUGCAACAAAUAAAUGGAACUAGUAACAGCUUCAUUCCAAUGGACACAUAUUCCAACCCAUAUGAAAGCUUAAGUAAGUUGCACAACAAAGACGUAUAAGAUGAAACACAAAUACUUCAUAUCGCAUGCACCUUGCACGGUGUUGCCGGUGCAUUCAGAUCCCAUGCGCCCUGGCAGUGGCCAGGUGCGUAGGUGGCGAUAUUGGGCUGUAGUCUAGUGCGAGUGGUGACUGUGGAGGCUAUGGCCAUGACCACCAUGAAGUGGUGGAUCGGUUGCGCAGCAGCCUGAAAGCGAUCAGCGGUGAACCAGCAUGUGGUGCGGCAGCGCGACCUCUACUCUUUGGCCGGCAGCUACGUCAGGGUUGCAUCUGGCAAACUUCUCUGAUCCCGACACAAGCAGAGGGCUUGAGCGGGAUCCAAUGGCACGUCGAGGGACACACGAUGAGCCAGCUAGGACAGCAGGCACCGGUCAGCAGAGAUGGUGGACAACAGUAUUGGUGAAUCAGCGCGGAGUAUGCGUUUUCUGUGGGUAAAAACCCUUGGUCAGCCUCUUUGGUCAGAUCAAGAAACAUUGGCUUACGUGAGUCGUUUCCUUCCCAAGAUGUGUAGCUCGAAGCUCCUCCGGGGGUGAUAACCACAGGAUUGACCUUUUAUAAAAAAACUCAGCAACAUCGACGUAUGAGCUGCAAUCCCUUCUUGACGGCGCGUUAUCUUGGAGUAUCAUGUACAUCGCUUAGUCCCAACUAUUUUACCAGAGGAAUAUGGUCCCCGGUAAUAGGUUAGUGGUAGAUGAUAGAGAUGUUGGCUAUCCUUCAGUUUUUCGUUUAUUGUAAACCGUUGUGUUCAGUCUUGAUACUUGGUAUCUUUUUAAUGAAAUUAUGGUUGUAUGCAUCUGAGGAUGCAGAGGCCAGGAAGCUUGUCCUUCCUUUUCGGAAAAAAAAAAGCUUGAUGUGUCGGAGGAUUCUCCAUGCAUGAUGCGCUAUGAUGGUGCCCACAAAUGUGCAAUCACCUGUUGUUGGAAAGUGCCUUUAGCAUGGUCGGUUGGAGCAGCAACUUCCAACAGACGCUCUUCAUGGGAAAAAAAUUAUAACCGCUGUGUGGCACAUAUGGGAAGUACAGGCCUGGCGCAGUGGUGAAGUACUCCCCACUUGUGCCAAGAGGUCCUGGGUUCAACACUGCCUCUCUGCACUGCACUGUGCAGGGGUAAGGCUUGCCUCGUAUAAUCCUUCCCCAUACCCCAUCUGGUGUGGGAGCUUCUAGCACUGGGUCUGUCCUUUUUGUGUGGCAUAUAUGGAAAUAACACAAUGUGAAGAUUUUAGACAGUGUCACGCCCAGUUGCCAUGUCCAUGAAACAUUUUUUUAGGAGAGAAUAGCUGGGUUGAUUCUGUUGCCUAUUUUUUUCGAGUCGCUGGUGUAUGUAAACUGUUUGUACAUCUCCACCCACCCCCACCCCCACCCCUCCUCUCCACCGUCAGGGCCUUCACUACAGUCUCCCCAUAAAAAAGGUACAUAAGAAUUCAACCUGAAAGCCAGACAUACCUCAAACAUGUUCAAGUAUCUUGUAAACAAUAGCGGCAGAAACUUCUCCCAUUCAAUGGAUCUGGAAUUUUUUAUGCAACGUGCUAUGAUGGCAGCCCAUUGGAUAUCCCAGAAGUUACAAUUUGUGACAGAGUCCCAAAUGUGUAGACAUUGUGCAAUCCAAUCACUACAAAUCAGUGUCAUAAGUUAGUUAAAAGAAUAGAUGUUUGGCAACAUAAGGAAGCUCAUUGAUCAAAUAUGUGACCGUUUCAAUUACGUCGUAAAGUGAUCCUGGUUCCUCGAGUUUGCAGGAAGAAACAGCCUAACAAAUCCAACACCUUCAAAUGCUGAGUUAUGCCAUGGAUUUUCCAGCAACGGCCUGUGGUUCCAAUACAGUAUCAGGUCAGGCAGUUCUAUUUCGGCAGAACUCACCAAGCACAAAUUUCCAGUUGUGGUGAUAAGAAACGAUUGAUACACUUUGUGCUAUUUUUCGAAUUUAUACAAUACUAAUAGUAUAGAAAACAAUAACAUUGAUAGUAGCAACAGAAGGAACAAAAAAACAGUGCAAAUAAAACACAAGCAUUCAGCUGCUUAUGGAUAUUUCCUAUAGGACUUAUCAUUUUUUUUAGAUUCUAUUGGGCCUAUCAUGGAAAAGGGACAGCGAUAAUCGCAUCAUAGAUUUCUAAAAUAGCAGAAUCAUGACACUCAAGUCUCUAACCUAGCACAGGUGUAGCAUAGCACUCGGAAGUCCCUAAAGUUCUCGCAGAUCCCAAACUUGCAUGGGCAUUGUACAUGUCUCCAAACUUGCUAAUAAUCUAGCAUGUACCCAAAUAUGCAUGGCUAAGCACCAUUUCUCCAUUAACAAACAGUAUGAGAAGAUAUAGCAAGUGUUACCCUGUCGCUGAUUAGAAAACUAUGAUUCCUUACCUUUUGGUUCCAUAGUUGAGACAAGAUAACUACUAGUACUACUUAGAUAUUAGCCUUAGGGAAUAAGAUAAAAUUUGUUAGUGAAGAUUGCUAGGAAAGUUUCAGCUAAGCGAUGGAUGCAAGUACAUCUUGUUAAGGAAAGGAAUAAAUAAAGGUUAUCUAGUCUCCCUCUCUUAUUGAGCCGGUCCAUCAAAGGACAUGAGUUCCAAGUUGGAUUUUGACAGGAUUUUCACCAAUUCGCAUUUUCACCGGAUAAUAUGCCAAUGAAUCAAGAAAGAUCAAAGCAGCAUAGAAGCAAGAAUGCAGAAGUAUGCGGGAAAAAAUAAACACGGGUGCUGAAUAUGCCAAACAGAAACUGCCAAACCUGAAUUCCAACCAAAUCUCAGCAGCUGCACCUUCAGGAAAGAAAGUCCUAGAGGCAUGUACUAAGCCGGUGAUGGUCUCGAAGUGUUGCUGCCUUACUUUCCAGCCCUCAGGGCCCAUGUUUCUGAAAUAAACAUGACAUUCACCAUGUUAACUCAUGUAGUUCUUUCGACACCAGAAAAUAUGUGUGUUCAGAACUGUACCUCUUGAAAUGGGUUUGUAUCAAUGUCUCGUAAAGCGGCCUCCAUUGCACAUCAAGUGAAAGUCUCUCCGCAUGCUUUUUGAAAAGCCUGAUGAGCAAACCUCCCCAUUUUAUCUGGUUACCAAUUGUUUAGUGUAUAUCACCAAAGAACAAAAGAUCUUAACUAUACAUAGAUAAAUCAUUAAUUGCAGGCCAUUACCUGGACAACAAACUUAUUCUGCGAUGCAUGAAAUAUUCCAAACCCAAGCUCUACAAGAGCAUGUAUGUCCUCAGGAGCAACGUCACUCUUUGCUUUGAUAAAACUAAAUCCAUAAAAAAUCAAACAUCAACAUUUGCUACAUAAAUCCUGAUAAUUAACCAAAUUCAAUUACAUUGUUAGUAUGUUACAACAAAAACAAGUUGUGCCCUUCCAAGUAUAGCCUCACUUCAAUAUACAAUUGAAAUUGCUGUGUUAGAGAGAAAGGGAAAAUGUGUGCCACAUAACAUAAAAGUGCCAUUAUAAUCUCAUGUGUACUUCAAUAUAUUAACCAGGGUUAUGAAGUGAAGGGUUUUGUAUAAGGUCAUGUUAAGAAUUGUACAUGUUUAUCGUUGCAUAUUCAUUAAUUGGAGACUCAUGUGGAGUCACGGCCUAAUUCCAAAGACGAUAUCCUCCCAAGGCCCCACAUAGAAAAUAACUAUAAAUUCCCAUGUAAAUUAAACAAUAUCUGAGGCACUCACAUAUUAAAAAUGAAAAUCAAAUCCAUAUAUCUAAACUGUGUAUUGUGUGUCUUAGAUCUCAUAUAUAGCCCAUCAACUUUGCAGUUUAAUUCAUUGGCCCCAUCAACAAAAUAAAUUAUAUAUUUUACUCAAAGAACACAUGUUCACAAAACACAUGCCCAAUUAAUAAGUCAUAGUCGUUAUAAUACUACUUCACAGAUCAAUCCAGAGUAUUAAUAUCACAACCCAAUACAAUUUUAGAAAACACAACUUGGGCAGACAUUGCAUGUAAAUCUGAAUGAGACAGGCUAUAACACAAUUGGAAAAGCAUACAGUGUAAUAUAAAUAUAUAAUACAGCUUUUAUCGCAAAAUAAAUUAACUUUAAAGCACAAAUAGGGCAGCCCGGUGCAUGUAGCUCCCGCUUGCGCAGGGUCCGGGGAAGGGUCUAUUGUACACAGCCUUUCCCUACAUUUCUGCAAGAGGCUGUUUCCAGGACUUGAAACCGUGACCUCAUGGUCACAAGGCAACAGCUUUACCACUACACCAAGGCUCCCCUUCCAAGCACACAAGCACAUUCAAAAUCAUCUAAAUAGAAACUGAAUUGAAGCAAUAUGAUUGCUUUUCUCUACCGUAUGUAACCAAAGUAACUGUUCCGUAUAUUGAAUGGAAAUACUUUUACAAGAAUCUUAGGUUUUUCUACAGAUGUACUUCCUACAAAUCAAAUGUGACAACGACAUUUUUACAAUUUAUAUGUUUUGGAGUUGCUCGCGGUGCAGAGAAACAGGUUGAAGACUACUUUAUCCAACUGUGACAAAAUCAUUCAAAUUGAAAUAUACAAAGGGGCAGAAUAUAGUGUAUAUCCAUCUUUGGGUACUAAUCAUCAGGUGGGUCACAGUCUAUUAGAUCGCAUUUGCACUGAUUAUAUUCAAAAGAAAGCAUAAAUAAAUAUUUACAAACAGACCCUAACGCUUCAGUAUUUGCAAACAAACCAAUGACAGACCGAGAGAGAUAAUUUCAGAUGGACCCUGCCUCCUGGCAUCCCUCAAUCUGAUCCACCAAUCACAUAUGACGAACACCGCUACAUGCUAGUGCCCAAAAGAGUUUGUAGUAGCUAAUUAGCAUCUCAUGAACUAAUUAAUCAUCAAAACUUUUGUUAAGAUGCUAAAGAUGGCAGGAAAAGCUCAGAAACGAGCUUGGUAUUGGAGCUUAGGCCGUGAGCCUUGUGGCAAGUGUUUUACCCAAAAGCAGAGUCACAGUACAGAAAUGUACGCCAACAACAACUAAUUCUGACUAUGUUUUCCAGUAGUGGACUCCAUCGUACAAGCGCUCAUCCCAUUCACGGCUUAGCCGAACAAGCUCCAGAGAGUGGAUGCCCAACAAUUCCACAACCGCGAGCCCCAAGCUAACCCUUCACACAGUCAUGGAAAUGGAAUCGCUCAAAACCUCUCCGGAUUACGAGAGCAACUCGACUGGCGAUUGUGCAUAUAAAAUCCCAAAAGCAAAUCGAAUCGCACCGCAUCGAAUCGAAUCGGUACGGAGGAAAGGGCGCGAGGGAAUUACAGGUCGAACACGGAGAUCCACUUGAGCGUGGCGUAGGCCGAGUCGGGGUCGUCGGGGCGCCACGCGUCCUUGGCCGCCCGCACCGCGCCGGCGAAGGCCGCCGCCUCCCCCCGCGCGGCAUCCGCCACCGCCGGGGGCAGCCACGCGUUGUAGAGAUGCAUCGCCGCUGUGUGCUUGCGAAGCAAAGCGAGGCGAGGCGAGGCGGAAAUGGGUGACGGGUUUCUGGUUGGGGUUUAAUCGGGUAGAGAAUUUAUGAGCGGCCGGGUUCUUUCUUCGCCUCCAAGACGAGCGAGGGGGAGACGACGACCAAAGAGGCCAGAGGGCGACUUCGGCGACCGGUGCUCCGCGGCCAAGGCAAGGGGGCGCUGCUGUUAUCAGUGACGCAGGCUCUGGGGCUGCGUGGACCUGGUGUACGGUGGACUUCUGAGUUUCUCUUUAGUUUAGAGCAUCUCCAACAAACGCGCAAGGCUUGCGCGCAAUAAUGUCUUUACAGUGUCAAAAUGAUCAGUUUUUACGCAUAGCUGAGCGCUGGCUCCAGUGACCGCCCCAAAUAUAGCGUGCGCGAGCCGCUCCAGGAGGCACUAAAAAAACGACGUGCGUGCCAGCACAAACAACAUAUGUACUUCAAACAAAACCAAAAAGAUCAAACACAUAAAAUUAAAUCAACAAUAAUAAAUAAUUCAAUUUUAUUACAACUCAAACAAAUAGUUCAUCUUUCAAUACAACAAAUAAUUCAACAAUACAACAUCGAACAUACAAAUCAUCAUGCGUUUUGUCAACUCUCCCUUCUCAAAGAGGAAGAAAGCACAAGUAGUCAAGACCAAAACUGCACCGACUCGGAAAAAGAAAAAGUCUGUUGUUGCAGAUGAGCCGGCGGCUAGGGGCGAGUCGCCACAAGCUGACAAUCAAUCAGAGGUAGAGCUUGACACCCUUGGCCAUCUCCUUAUUGGGCUUACUUACGCCUCUUAUUCUUAGGGUGAAGUCGCCACAAGUUGACAAUCAAUCAGAGGUAGAGCUUGACACCCUUGGCCAUCUCCUUACUAAGCUUACUGACGCCUCUUAUUCUCAGGGUGAAGUCACCACAAGCUGGGCUGAUGAUGUUGAGAUAAUUUCCAUCUCCUCCGGCUCGGAAUCCCUGCCUCCCAAGAUCACUGGGCAGUUAUCCGGCAAGUAAGUUUUUCUCAUCCGAAUGCUCAUUUAGACCUGAACUUUAUUUUUAAGAAAACACAACACGAGUCGAGGCGCCAAACUCGAAGUGGCAGCUCUGGAGAUCUAGUGGCCGGGUUAACUCAUGAACCAUCUGCUCGCAAGCGGCGUAACGAGGUGCCAAACAAUCCAACUCCUUCUUUACCCAAAGCCGGCCUUGUUAGGCAGCCUCUUAGUCCUUCUAACUCAAAUUAUCAGGAGUCAUCACCCUCAUACGACGAGUCAACUGCUUCCAAGCGGCCACCUCUUGUCAUUAAUCAAGGGUAGACUUCUUUUAUAUCAUGUACCACUUAAUCAUUCUUAGCAUCGCAUAUAUCAUGUACCCAAGGGUCGGGUUAUCAUGUCAACAGUGAGCCGGUUAUUUCCAAUACAUCCUUUAUGAAAAGAAAUGCCAUGCAGCCCCCAAGGGGCGGCUCAUCUUCAUGAGAGGAACCGGAUCUUUCCAUAGUAGUAUACCUUAAAGAAUUAACAUGUAGGCCCCAAGGGUUGGCUCAUGUUUAUGAGAUGAGCCGGGUCUUCUUAUAGUUUUGAAGGUAGAAAAAGGAUAUGCAUUAGCCUCCAAGUGCUGAGUAUAUUGCUUGCAAUUUGUUGGGACUUCUCCUUUGAAAGUGAAUUGGUAUAGCCCCCAAAUGAUGGGUUAGACAUUGUUGCCGACUUACUUCAACAUUUGUUAAAUGACUUAUCUCCUUAUUCUGCGGGAGGCUCUAAGUACGGCCGAGUCAAAUUUGACUGGCUUAAGAAAAAACUGUGAAUCUGAGCAAGCUCUGUGAAGCAAGGCUGAAUCAAGUUUGAAGUCCUCUCUGGAGGAGUUGGAGAAAAUCAAGGCAGACUUUGAAUCAGAAAAAAAAGUCUUUUGAAACUGAAAAGGCCGCCUUGAUCCGACGUGCAGAAGCCGCCGAAAGCCAAUUGGCACCGGUCACUGAGGAAUUGGCCGGCUUAAAGCACCAUAUUACUCAAAUGACCCAAACUAUAUUUGGUAAGUUAUCCCACAACUUAUAAAGAAAAUUUAACUCACCUGGCAAGUCAUGCAUAAGUAAUAUCCCGCCUGGCGGCUCACAUACCGAAACUUCUAUGCAGGUGAUAGAACUUGCGGCCUUUAGGAUAGCGUCAUGAAGCUGAAAGAUGUAUACUCU